AUAAAGCUAACUAGGCCUGGGCAUUCGGGGUCCCAAUCGGGUUUCGGUUUUUUGGGUUUAUCAAAAUCAGCCCCAUUCGGAUUAUAUGAAAGUUCGGUUCGGAACCGGUUCGGGUUCAAUCGGGUUCGGGUCGGGGUUAGUAAAUCUUCAAAGAACCGGUACAACCCAAUAUAUUUUCGGGUUCGGGUAAGAAACAUAGGAACUUAUUUGCCCAGCCCUAAAGCCAACCAUCCAGUACAUAUUAUUAUAUUCACACAAUCUUGAGGUUUACCUUUUAAUUUUGAUUUAGGAUGUAACUGUUGUAAGUUCUUCAACUCGGUUAUUGUGGAGGCUCGCUUUUUUUUUCUCAUGUAAGAAACAUAGGAACUGAAUUCAUUUUUUUUUCUUUCUUUUUUUGUUGAGCAAUAAAAUACUUGGAUUAAGAAAUAGGUUUUUAAGUAACAGAGGAUGGCUUACUGAUUAAAUGGGCCGCUAAACAACAUUUCGCGAGCCCAUCAGCAAAGCCAUUUUGAGAACGAGGGAUGUAAAUGAAACGAUAAGACUGAAAAGAUGAAGACGGUGAGAAGGCUAAAUCGCCGAUAUCGGCGAAAACCCCGAAGAGUUCCGAUGAUCGUCGGCGAGAGGAAAUCGUGUUAACGAGUAUUUGAGAGUCUGAUUUGAUACAGAUAUGGUGGUAAUUGAGAGAGGAUGCUUGUAGAAGGGCUUCUCGGAUCGCUAAAGCUUCGGCCAUGCACGGCGAGGAGACAAAAUCUUGAGAACAUGAUCCUCUUUGGAGCUCCUGCGAAGAGGGUCGGUGAAGAUCCAGGCCAGGCCCACCGAUUUGAUCCCUCCCUUCCACGAGGCGUCCGUAUUGCAGAUGAUUUCCCUAGAGGUUUCUACUGGCGCUUGAUUCUGGUAUAAGCUCUUAGGAGUUGGCUCCUUCUUUGAUGGCUGCGCUAGUUGCCAUUCUUUGAGGGAUCCUAUGGCUUUUGCGAAAACUUCUCCUGCUGAUUGUCGACGAUUCUCAAAGAGGAGGAGAUUUCGUGAAAUCCAUAAGGUGCAGCAGAUCGAUGGGAGGGCGUUUUCAGUAAAACCAUAUGGAGGAAGAGGGACUUGGAGCAUAGCUCUAAGACAUGUGUAUUUUCUUUUGAAGAAUUAAACUUACAUUUAGUGUACAACUAAAUUCGUUGUAUGUGUUCACAAUAAUAAAAUCCAUUCAAUGCUUAGAAUCAAACUCAUGCAUGAUUUAUAAGACUUUAAACUUGUAAGGAUUUUUAACGCGACAAUCACUCAACUAAGUUUGUUUUGGGUAAAAACCAUUAAACUAAGUAUUUUUCGAAAAAACUCUUAAACUACCUUUAUUUAAUGAAUUAAACCCUAACAUGUUAUAGUUACCAUUACUACCGGUAGAUAUUUAGUUGGGGUUCUACAUUAAGUAAACAUAAUUGAGGGGUUUUACCAUAAAAAAUCUAAAAAACCAAAAAAAUCAAAAUUUUAUAAUAAUAUCUAAACAUUAGUAACUUACAUUUUCAAAAUUAGCAUUUUUAAGUCUUUUUGUAAAAUAUAUGAGUUUCAUGUGUUUUUAACAUCCACAUUAUAUAUGUAUAAAUUAAAAAUGAAAAACCUAGAAAAUAUAAUAAAAAGUAUUUAAAGAUAUACUUGUAAUAAAAUUACUAAAAGAUUAAGAAUGUAAAAAUAAGAAAAUAUAAUAAAAAUUAUAUCUUAUCUAAUAAAAAUGUAAUAAUAAAUUUUUGGAUAAUUUGUAUUAUAUUUUUUUGGGGUAUUAUAUUUUUUUGGGUUUUUAUAUUUUUAAUUUAUACAUAUAUAAUGUUGAUGUUAAAACCACAUCAAACUCAUAUAUUUUACAAAAAAAAAUGCUAAUUUUGAAAAUUUAAGUUACUAAUUUUUAGAUAAUAUUAUGAAAUUUUGAUUUUAUUUUAUUUUAUUUAUUUUUAAGGGUAAAACCCCUCAACUAUGUUUACUUAAUGUAGAAACCCCUCAACUAUGUUUACUAAAGAUUUGUCAGUUGUAAUGGUAAUUAUGACCUGGUAUGGUUUAAUUCAUUAAAUAAAGUUAGUUUGAAAGUUUUUUCAUUAAAUAUUUAGUUUGGAGGUCUUUACCCAAAACAAACUUAGUUGACGGAUUUUAACGUUAAAAAUCCAAAUUUUAACCACUAACUUAAGAAACUUUCACUAAAUAUGAUCUUUUAGUUUCAUUUAAUAAGCCUAAGGCUAAUGAUAGGAGAAUAAGAAAACCAUAAAUUUUUUUACCUUUUAUAUACAAAAAAAACAUUUAGUAUUAACUAAAAAUUUCACCAAUAAUAAAAAUGUAAUUAAAUUUUAAUAGUUAUAGCGUAUUAGAUAAAUAUAAAAUAUACAUAUUUUAAAAUAAACCAAAAACAUUUUAUAUAUCUUAGAUCAUAUGAAAGAAGGAAUAUUGAUUAACUAUCUCUUUUAUUAAUUUAGAAACAACAUAUAAAUUUUGAUUAAGAAAAGAAACAUUAUAUAGAAUUAUCUUUAAGCUCACAUGUGACUUGAGAAAUUUUCAUUUAGAAAUAUUUAUACUUUUAGAUUUUCAUUAGGAGUAACAGUAUCAUAUCAGUUUAAUCUUAAUUUACAUAUAAAACUUUCAUAAUCUAUUUUGUUUUAUUCUGUAAAUUAAUAUAUUAACUAGAUUUUAACCGGCGUUAAUGUUUCUUUAUUUUUUUAUUUAGAAAACCGACAACAAAUUAUUGUGAAUGUUAAACCAUUUGAAUUCAACCCAAACGAACUUAUUUGCCCAGCCCUAAAGCCAACCAUCCAGUACAUAUUAUUAUAUUCACACAAUCUUGAGGUUUACCUUUUAAUUUUGAUUUAGGAUGUAACUAUUGUAAGUUCUUCAACUCGGUUAUUGUGGAGGCUCGUUUUUUUUUCUCAUGUAAGAAACAUAGGAACUGAAUUCAUUUUUUUUUCUUUCUUUUUUUGUUGAGCAAUAAAAUACUUGGAUUAAGAAAUAGGUUUUUAAGUAACAGAGGAUGGCUUACUGAUUAAAUGGGCCGCUAAACAACAUUUCGCGAGCCCAUCAGCAAAGCCAUUUUGAGAACGAGGGAUGUAAAUGAAACGAUAAGACUGAAAAGAUGAAGACGGUGAGAAGGCUAAAUCGUCGAUAUCGGCGAAAACCCCGAAGAGUUCUGAUGAUCGUCGGCGAGAGGAAAUCGUGUUAACGAGUAUUUGAGAGUCUGAUUUGAUACAGAUAUGGUGGUAAUUGAGAGAGGAUGCUUGUAGAAGGGCUUCUCGGAUCGCUAAAGCUUCGGCCAUGCACGGCGAGGAGACAAAAUCUUGAGAACAUGAUCCUCUUUGGAGCUCCUGCGAAGAGGGUCGGUGAAGAUCCAGGCCAGGCCCGCCGAUUUGAUCCCUCCCUUCCACGAGGCGUCCGUAUUGCAGAUGAUUUCCCUAGAGGUUUCUACUGGCGCUUGAUUCUGGUAUAAGCUCUUAGGAGUUGGCUCCUUCUUUGGUGGCUGCGCUAGUUGCCAUUCUUUGAGGGAUCCUAUGGCUUUUGCGAAAACUUCUCCUGCUGAUUGUCGACGAUUCUCAAAGAGGAGGAGAUUUCGUGAAAUCCAUAAGGUGCAGCAGAUCUAUGGGAGGGCGUUUUCAGUAAAAC
rnacentral:lncRNA from 1 species